UACGAAGGGUGCAAGCGUUAAUCGGAAUUACUGGGCGUAAAGCGUGCGUAGGCGGUUUCUUAAGUCUGCUGUGAAAUCCCCGGGCUUAACCUGGGAACUGCGUUUGAAACUACAAGGCUAGAGUGUGGCAGAGGGGGGUGGAAUUCCACGUGUAGCAGUGAAAUGCGUAGAGAUGUGGAGGAACACCGAUGGCGAAGGCAGCCCCCUGGGUUAACACUGACGCUCAGGCACGAAAGCGUGGGGAGCAAACAGG
rnacentral:rRNA from 1 species